AACGAACGCUGGCGGCAUGCCUAACACAUGCAAGUCGAACGAGACCUUCGGGUCUAUUGGCGCACGGGUGCGUCACGCGUGGGAACCUUCCCUUAGGUUCGGAAUACCUCCCCGAAAGGGGUGCUAAUACCGGAUAAUGUCUUCGGACCAAAGAUUUAUCGCGUUUGGAUGGGCCCGCGUUGGAUUAGCUAGUUGGUAGGGUAAAAGCCUACCAAGGGGACGAUCCAUAGCUGGUCUGAGAGGAUGGUCAGCCACACUGGGAGUGAGACACGGCCCAGACUCCUACGCAAGGCAGCAGUGGGGAAUAUUGGAAAAUGGGCGAAAGCAUGAUCCAGCAAUGACGGGUGAGUGAUGAAGGCCUGAGGGUUGUAAAGCUCUUUUACCCGGGAUGAUAAUGACAGUACCGGGAGAAUAAGCUCCGGCUAACUCCGUG
rnacentral:rRNA from 1 species